rfam:Haemonchus contortus, ISE/inbred ISE, WGS project CAVP01000000 data, contig: Hcontortus_6181
GGCCCAAAUUUGAAGUAGAGUAGAUUAGUAGCAUCAGCUGACCCUACCAAACUACUCUAUUUCGAGUUUGGGCCC